AAAAACAUGGCUUAAUGUUACUAUAUUAAGUUAUUUCUGCUCAAUGAAAUAUUAAAUAGCCGCAGUACUCUGACUGUGCAAAGGUAGCAUAAUCAUUUGGCUUAUAAUUGAAGUCUGGCAUGAAUGAAUUAAUGGGGAGUUACUGUCUUUUUGGGGUUUUCAAGAACUUACUUAACAAGUGAAAAUACUUGUAAAUAAAUAAUAGACGAGAAGACCCUAGAAAUUUUUUUUAAUAUUGGUUUUAUAUCUAAUUAAUUUUGCUGGGGCGGCAGAAUAACAUUAAACUUAUUUUAAUAAAUUUGAACUAUCUACUGAGUAAAAGUAAAUUACUCUAGGGAUAACAGCAUAAUUUUACAAAGUUUGUGACCUCGAUG
rnacentral:rRNA from 1 species